GAACAAAAGUCAAGAAAUGCCACAUUCCACAAACAAAGAACUUAUAUUUGCCAUCAUGGUGGGAACUGCUGGUAUCAGCUUGCUGGUUCUGUGGUAUCAAAGGGUUCGUAAACCAAGGACAGCAAUGAGUUUGCCAAAAUUUUUUUCUCUGGGUAAUACAUUUGAUUCAACAACUUUGCAAGAUAAAACACAUAAUGGCCAAGGAACACCAGCAAUCUUUCAGAGAAGGCAACUUCAGAUACUGGAGAAGUUAAAUGAAUUGCUGACAAAUAUGGAAGAACUCAAAGAGGAAAUCAGAUUUCUUAAAGAAACUAUUCCAAAACUAGAGGAAUAUAUACAAGAUGAACUUGGAGGGAAGAUAACGGUUCAUAGGGUAAGUCCUCAGCACAGAGCCAGAAAAAGAAGAGCAACUGCGGUUCAAAGUUCAGCAACAAGUAAUAGUUCAGAGGAAGCAGAAAGUGAAGGAGGGUAUAUUACAGCUAACACUGACACAGAAGAACAGAGUUUCUCAGUGCCUAAGGCAUUUAACACGCAUGUAGAGGAAUUAACGUUAGAUAUCCUUCUUCAGAAGGCAGAUCACUUACGCAUGACUGAGUCUGGCAAAAUGGAGGGUUUUGAACUACUGUGUGACCACGAAGAGAAGUUUAGAGAUGAAAUAGAAUUUGUGUGGCGGUUUGCUCGGGCUUAUGGAGACAUGUUUGAGCUUUCUACAAAUACACAGGAGAAGAAACAUUAUGCUAAUAUUGGAAAAACAUUAGGUGAAAAAGCUAUCACUAGAGCACCUAUGAAUGGCCACUGUCAUCUGUGGUAUGCAGUUUUGUGUGGCUAUGUAUCUCAGUUUGAGGGCUUACAAAAUAAAAUCAACUAUGGACAUCGCUUCAAGGAACAUCUAGAUAUAGCAAUCCAACUUUUACCUGACGAACCCUUUUUGUAUUACCUCAACGGAAGGUACUGUUACACUGUCUCAAAACUCAGCUGGAUUGAGAAAAAAAUGGCUGCUACUCUGUUUGGGAAUAUGCCAUCUUCAACUGUACAAGAAGCUUUGCGUAACUUCCUUAAGGCUGAAGAAAUACAUCCCGGUUAUUCUCUACUCAAUUACAUGUACUUGGCCAAGUGUUAUGUAGAUCUUGAGGAAAAUCAGAAUGCUUGGAAGUUCUGUAAUUUGGCCUUGUUACUUCCCUCUGUUACCAAAGAGGAUGAAGAGGCACAGACAGAGGUGAAAGCAAUAAUCAAGUCCUUGAAGAGGGUGCUUGACUCUGGAGGAGACAGAAUACCUGAAGAAUGUUGCUGAAAUGAGGAUUUCUCCUGUUGGGCCACUAAGGCCAAGCUAAUGGGGUCAUCUUCCACUCACAGAUGAAGUACACCAACUGCUAACCUCUCAAGAAUCAGCAUGCACAACUUUGGAAAUGGGGCGUUCAGAACCAGAACUUCGAAG
rnacentral:lncRNA from 1 species